UGAAUUUUUCCAAGAGGUUGAACAUCAUGUUAGAAAAUUUCCAAGAUUCCUAUGGAUCUAACGGUUCCAUAGGAAUUUCAGAGGUUCAUUCAAUCUUUGGUUCCAAAUCUUUUUUUUAAGAAAUCAUCAGUGUGUUGGGGCGGCCCAACGUUUUGGAACGGGCCCGGAUCUGUCGCUCGGAGCCCAAAUUUGGCCCACAGCCUGUAUGCUCUGUUGGAAGUACAUGCAACUUCUCGG
rnacentral:lncRNA from 1 species